rnacentral:rRNA from 1 species
GUGAGGAAUAUUGCGCAAUGGAGGCAACUCUGACGCAGCCAUGCCGCGUGCAGGAAGAAGGCGCUACGCGUUGUAAACUGCUUUUAACCGGGAAGAAACCCCAGGACGUGUCCUGGGUUGACGGUACCGGAGGAAUAAGCACCGGCUAACUUCGUGCCAGCAGCCGCGGUAAUACGAAGGGUGCAAGCGUUAUCCGGAUUCAUUGGGUUUAAAGGGUGCGUAGGCGGAGCGUUAAGUCAGUGGUGAAAUCCUGCAGCUUAACUGUAGACUUGCCAUGGAUACUGGCGCUCUUGAGUGCGCUUGUAGUGGGCGGAAUGUGCCGUGUAGCGGUGAAAUGCUUAGAUAUGGCACAGAACACCAAUUGCGAAGGCAGCUCAUUAAGGCGAUACUGACGCUGAGGCACGAAAGCGUGGGGAUCGAACAGGAUUAGAUACCCGGGUAGUCC